AAGAAAAUAGUAUAUUUUAUUUGACUAAGAAAAUACUUCCAAAAAUGUAUGUUUGUGUUAUUAUAUAUAAUAAUCAGAAUGUGUUAAGAAAUAUCAUAAAAUAAAGUUUAGGGAAUAUUUUAAUCAUAAUCCAAAAAUAAAGAGACAAAAAAUGGCUAUCACAAUAAAGACUUUAGUCACGUUUGUUUUUACUAUACUCUUCAUAGUAUAUUCUGUUCAUUGUGAUACUGCGGUUACCACUGAUGAUGCUCCGUUUUAUGGAGGAAUGAAGAUCGACGACGUCUGCUUCAACUUCGAUAAACCAUGUGAAAAAGCCGGCGGUGUGUUAAAAGCUUGCGAUGACUUUUGUACGGAACAUUAUUUGGUUGGCGGAUAUUGUAACGGUCAAGGAAAAUGUUGUUGUAUACAUCAACAUCAAGUAUGAAAUCAUCUUAUCAGAGUGAAACUAAAACAAUAAAUAAAUUUAUCAGAUUGAAACUAGUAUUAGUA